GCCAACUGCGUGCUCCUGCUGCUGCUUCAUCGCGCGUGUGUGCUAACAUCCUCUCUGCCCGGUGCGUCCUCAUCCAGCGAGCUCACUGCCCCGAUCCGACAUCGUUUGCCUAUUCCAACACCAGUGUUCAGGUCGCGCCUCAUCCAGCGAGCUCACUGCCUCGGUCCGACAUCGUUCGCAUGUUCAAACAGCAGUGUCCAGGUCGCCUGCAAGGUGUUCGGUCAAUUGACCGGACCGAGCCCAGGUACAACUAAUGUGGAUAAAGACGCCUGCUUUCUUCGUUGGAGCAAGCAGUUCAGUGGAUGGAUACCAUUUUAUGCCCACUGUUUUCGUGGUAUUAACAAUCAUGAUGCCAACAUGAUGUGUACCAUAUAUUUUAUGAUGCUAUUUAUGUAUUUAUGUAACUGGAUGAUCUUUUUCUUAUUUGCAAAUCAAAAUCAGCCCAGGCAAAUUAAUAUCGAUGACUUCCAGGCAAAUCAAAAUCAGCCCAGGCUAUUGUCUUCUGUUUCAGAUUGGUGACUGGGUAUGUUUAAAAAGAGAAUGCCCUAGAAAGAUCAGUCAUACAAGAGAGUUUGUCAGUUUCAGAUCAGUGACAUAUCUUCAGAGUCAUUCAUUUAUCAUCAUACAAAAACCAUCAAAUGAAUUCUCUUUACCGGAUGCUUUCCAGUUUUCUUAGUGUCAAGUAAAGAUUCGAUUAGCUGGGUAUAAUGCAUUUCUGAUCAGCAACCUUGAAACCAAAACGGUUAAAAUAGUAAAUAGUAAAUAAAUUUAAUUCCACACUUCCGUAUUCAACCAAAGUACACCCUGUUCUUUUGCUGCAAGUGCUAUUGUUAAUUAAAAUAUCUCCUUAGUAUAAUGUGGCAGAAUCUCAAUACACUUGUGGUGGAUCCUCUAAUCCUGUACCUGCCAAAUAUAUAAAUCAUUCUAUUUAUACAUAGAGUAUCUAUGUAGUGCCAUCCUAACUAGGGGUGACCAUUUUUAUAUGAUGGAUAGUUGAGCUUGGUGAGCGCGGAUGGGGAGUGGAUGGCAUGGAAGAGAAGGUUGCGAGGAAGGAGAAUAAGCAGGGGAGCCAGAGCAUGAGUAGCGACCUUGCGAAUUUGGUGAAUGGGUUUCCAGGCUUUGAUUAUGCGCCAGGCAAGGUUGGUAGUUCUUUACCGGCAGCGGCGGUGGCAGAAUGGCGAGGCCGAUUUGAACCCGGCUGCCCCUCUCUGUUGGUCUAAACGCUUAUUUUUUAUCGUUGACAAUGAAGUGUUCAUAGUCAUUUAGAUGCAGUGGCGAGCUCAUAUAGUAGCUUCAGUUCUAUCAAAUGUACAUGUUUAAUGUAGCUUCAAUGUUUGCCCUUUCUUUAUCUUGAGUAGUGAUAGUUCAAUGCUA